CCUACGGGUGGCAGCAGUGAGGAAUAUUGGUCAAUGGCCGAGAGGCUGAACCAGCCAAGUCGCGUGAGGGAAGACGGCCCUACGGGUUGUAAACCUCUUUUGUCGGGGAGCAAAGAGAGUCACGUGUGACUCAUUGAGAGUACCCGAAGAAAAAGCAUCGGCUAACUCCGUGCCAGCCGCCGCGGUAAUACGGGGGAUGCGAGCGUUAUCCGGAUUUGUGGGGUUUAAGGGGUGCGCAGGCGGAGGUGCAAGUCAGCGGUCAAAUUGCGGGGCUCAACCCCGUACUGCCGUUGAAACUGCAUCCUUUGAGUGCGCGAGAAGUAUGCGGAAUGCGGGGUGUAGCGGUGAAAUGCAUAGAUAUCACGAAGAACUCCGAUUGCGAAGGCAGCAUACCGGCGCGCAACUGACGCUCAUGCACGAAAGCGUGGGUAUCGAACAGGAUUAGAUACCCGAGUAGUC
rnacentral:rRNA from 1 species